GUGCUCGUUUUGGCAGCACAUACACUAAAAUUGGAACAAUUCAGAGGAAGUUAGCAUGGCCCUGCACAAGGAUAACAUGUAAGUCCAUGAAGCAUUCCUUUA